rnacentral:rRNA from 1 species
CACGUAGUUAGCCGGUGCUUCUUAUACAGGUACCGUCACAAAAGCUUCGUCCCUGUCGAAAGGAGUUUACAACCCGAAGGCCUUCAUCCCCCACGCGGCGUCGCUGCAUCAGGCUUCCGCCCAUUGUGCAAUAUUCCCCACUGCUGCCUCCCGUAGGAGUCUGGGCCGUAUCUCAGUCCCAAUGUGGCCGUACACCCUCUCAGGCCGGCUACCCGUCGACGCCUUGGUAGGCCAUUACCCCACCAACAAGCUGAUAGGCCGCGAGCUCAUCCCCAACCGCAAAGCUUUCCAACAACCACACUAAAGAUUGUUCCUAUCCGGUAUUAGACCCAGUUUCCCAGGCUUAUCCCAAAGUUGAGGGCAGAUCACCCACGUGUUACUCACCCGUUCGCCACUCGAGUACCCGCAGCAAGCUGCAGGCCUUUCCGUUCGACUUGCAUGUGUUAAGCACGCCGCCAGCGUCGUCCUGAGCCAGGAUCAAACUAC